rnacentral:rRNA from 1 species
UUGAGUGAGUGGCGGACGGGUGAGUAACACGUGGGUAACCUGCCCUAAAGUGGGGGAUAACAUUUGGAAACAGAUGCUAAUACCGCAUAAAACCUAGCACCGCAUGGUGCAAGGUUGAAAGAUGGUUUCGGCUAUCACUUUAGGAUGGACCCGCGGUGCAUUAGUUAGUUGGUGAGGUAAAGGCUCACCAAGACCGUGAUGCAUAGCCGACCUGAGAGGGUAAUCGGCCACACUGGGACUGAGACACGGCCCAGACUCCUACGGGAGGCAGCAGUAGGGAAUCUUCCACAAUGGACGAAAGUCUGAUGGAGCAACGCCGCGUGAGUGAAGAAGGUUUUCGGAUCGUAAAACUCUGUUGUUGGAGAAGAACGUAUUUGAUAGUAACUGAUCAGGUAGUGACGGUAUCCAACCAGAAAGCCACGGCUAACUACGUGCCAGCAGCCGCGGUAAUACGUAGGUGGCAAGCGUUGUCCGGAUUUAUUGGGCGUAAAGCGAGCGCAGGCGGUUUCUUAAGUCUGAUGUGAAAGCCUUCGGCUCAACCGAAGAAGUGCAUCGGAAACUGGGAAACUUGAGUGCAGAAGAGGACAGUGGAACUCCAUGUGUAGCGGUGAAAUGCGUAGAUAUAUGGAAGAACACCAGUGGCGAAGGCGGCUGUCUGGUCUGUAACUGACGCUGAGGCUCGAAAGCAUGGGUAGCAAACAGGAUUAGAUACCCUGGUAGUCCAUGCCGUAAACGAUGAGUGCUAGGUGUUGGAGGGUUUCCGCCCUUCAGUGCCGCAGCUAACGCAUUAAGCACUCCGCCUGGGGAGUACGACCGCAAGGUUGAAACUCAGAGGAAUUGACGGGGGCCCGCACAAGCGGUGGAGCAUGUGGUUUAAUUCGAAGCAACGCGAAGAACCUUACCAGGUCUUGACAUCCUUUGACCACUCUAGAGAUAGAGCUUUCCCUUCGGGGACAAAGUGACAGGUGGUGCAUGGUUGUCGUCAGCUCGUGUCGUGAGAUGUUGGGUUAAGUCCCGCAACGAGCGCACCCUUAUUACUAGUUGCCAGCAUUUAGUUGGGCAC